rnacentral:rRNA from 1 species
UACGAAGGGGGCUAGCGUUGUUCGGAAUUACUGGGCGUAAGGGCGCGUAGGCGGUGUGUCAAGUCAGGCGUGAAAGCCCCGGGCUCAACCUGGGAACCGCGCUUGAGACUGGCACGCUCGAGUUCGGGAGAGGAUGGUGGAAUUCCCAGUGUAGAGGUGAAAUUCGUAGAUAUUGGGAAGAACACCGAUGGCGAAGGCAGCCAUCUGGACCGACACUGACGCUGAGGCGCGAAAGCGUGGGGAGCAAACAGG